AAAAUGUAAUUUGUCCUCAUAUUCCACAAACAAAUAAAUUCAAUCAAUCGUAUUUAAUAAAGCCCUUUUUACAUCAGUAACUGUGACAAAGUGCAAUACAGACAGACCCCCUCUACUUGAAAUGGAUUCAGGUUGGCUGUCUAUCAUUGGGAGUCUUUCAAUAAGACACUUUCAAAAGUCAGAAGCAGAGAAAUCAAGAGGUGGUCAUGUCCUUGCGGUAGAAAAGCGAACUGAAAGUGAAAUAGCUAACCAGGUAGCCAGAGAUUGAAUCGUUUUGUAGCCAUUACUAGUUGUAAUUUCAUUGAUUUUGUUUUGUUUUUGAUAUCGCAGCAGGACGUUUCUGAAAAGACCUCGUUACUAUUAACUAACUAGCUAGCUAACUGGACGUGUAGCAUUUGUUUGCUUGCCAGCUAUCUAACGUUACUGUUACCUUUGACAUUUGUGUUAUUAAAUUCAGUCGAUAGAUUCAAAUAAUAAUAAUAGGUCUAAUCAUUUUCCACAACCAUGGAAUAUAUGACACCCCUCCAGAAGAAGAGACGCCACGAAGGAGACCUUCAACCCUGGAGAGAUUGUCAGGCGAAACGACUGUGCAACAGAGUGGGAGUCUGCGUCCAGGUUGAACAUGGCGGGAUGGUGACUGACAGUGCCAUGGAUACAUGGGAUGCCAGCAUGCAACAGCAGAGUGUCCCAAACAGCAACAGCGGUGUCGGCAUCAACCACCCAGCCUCUAACAUGGUCUAUGCAGUCCAUGCAGUCCAAGGCAGCCAACGUUGUAAUCGGUGCCUGGCAGGGGAGCCUGGGCACAUUAACCACAUCAUGGGGUAUUGAUUGGUUAUCGUCAUGAUCAGAGAUUGUUUGAAGAACUGAAGGGUCCUUGAGGAUGAAGAGAUUUGAUUGAUUGAUUGAUUGAUUGCUUGAUCAAGCCAUUGUGUAUGUGGCUGUGAACGUUUUAUCAGUGUGCCUUGCCUUUUCUUGCUUUUAACCACAAACACUGUAUUGCUUCAUGGAGAGCCUCACAUGUUUACACUACCUAACACUGGUAUGGGUAAAAUGGCUACUAACCAGACAGUAGACAUAAUAAUUUCAUACCGUCUUACUAACAUUCUGUUUGAAUGGAAAGAUAACCACUACAGUGUAGUCUACAUACAACCAUAAGGAAUGAGCCAUCAAGCCACCAUUAAUACUGUAACUUUACAAUGUAAUGUGGAUACUCAUUUAAAGUCAAUGGAUCUAUUAAAAAAAAUGACUUAUUGUCCCAGUAUCAAGACUGCUUCUAAAGCUGCCAGGAAAUAUACAUGUAAAUAAUAAUAAUAUUGAUAAGUAAAAACUUUUAAAGUUAUAUCAUUAUUAACCUUUUUGAAAUGGAUAAUCCUGUCUGCAAAUAUAUUUUUGUGAAAUACAUAUUUGAUAUAUAUUUUUCUAAAAUGUAAUUGGCUGAAUAUAAAAUAAGAAGUUUGUAACAAUGUUUGUGCUAAUUGUUUAAUUUUGGAUAGUGUCCUGAAUUUAGUGUUAAUCUCAUGAACAUUUUCAGCCAGUUUUCAAUAGUUUGAUCUACACUUGAAAUGUAGGGCUGUUUGACAAUGAUUUGUCUAUUUCCCACUAGAUUUGGUUUUGUGUUGUCUUACAAUGAUUUGAAGCCAGUUUCCACCUUGCCAAGCAGUGAUUUUUAUGCAAGGAAUAGACAAUAGUUGAUGCUGUUAAAUUUCAGGUUAUGACUCAAUGUAAUAGUUUAUUUUUAGUACAAGAAAAGCAACUUUCAAUAAAGUAUGAUUUGAUGAACAAUGUGUGGACAUUUAGAUGUGUUUUUGUGACUACUGUUUCUUCAUUGUUAUUCAAUACCUUUUUUUAUAUGAAGCUUAUUUCCACAUGCCAUCUAUUCAUGGGCUUCUGCUGCCUGCUGUACAUUGUGUGGAUCUUUACC
rnacentral:lncRNA from 1 species